rnacentral:rRNA from 1 species
AACGCUAGCGGCAGGCUUAAUACAUGCAAGUCGUGGGGCAGCACAGGUAGCAAUAUUGGGUGGCGACCGGCAAACGGGUGCGGAACACGUACGCAACCUUCCUUUAAGCGAUGAAUAGCCCAGGGAAACUUGGAUUAAUACAUCAUAAGACAGUGGACCGGCAUCGGUCANCUGUUAAAGCUCCGGCACUUAAAGAUGGGCGUGCGGCUGAUUAGGUAGUUGGCGGGGUAACGGCCCACCAAGCCGACGAUCAGUAACUGGUGUGAGAGCACGACCAGUCACACGGGCACUGAGACACGGGCCCGACUCCUACGGGAGGCAGCAGUAAGGAAUAUUGGUCAAUGGACGCAAGUCUGAACCAGNCAUGCCGCGUGGAGGAUGAAGGCCCUCUGGGUUGUAAACUUCUUUUAUUGGGGAAGAAACCUGUGUUUUCUAACGCCGUUGACGGUACCCAUUGAAUAAGCACCGGCUAACUCCGUGCCAGCAG